GUGAUGAGAGGGCAGAGAAAGGAUGCUGAAAGGAACCCGUCAAGAGGCAGGCAAGACAGAGUGGGCCAAGAGGGGAAGCCAGCAGGCCAGCAUGCCCAGAGGAUGCCCUCUGGGGUGAAGGUGCCCAGGCCUCUGGGGACUCCUGGGUGCACUGAUGGCCAGAAGAAAAGAUGAGGCAAUGGAGGCCAAUGCUGCACAGAAUGUCAAAAUUACCUGGGUCAAGGAGAGACAACAGCACAGGGUGGUGACAUUCCACCCAGGCUGAGGCCGCUGCUUCUCUACAAAGGCUUGC